UACGGGGGGAGCAAACGUUGUUCGGAAUCACUGGGCUUAAAGGGUGCGUAGGCGGGCUGCCAAGUUUGAGGUGAAAUCCUCCGGCUCAACCGGGGAAGUGCCUUGAAUACUGGCGGUCUGGAGGGAGGUAGGGGCGUGCGGAACUAACGGUGGAGCGGUGAAAUGCGUUGAUAUCGUUAGGAACUCCGGUGGCGAAGGCGGCACGCUAGACCUCUUCUGACGCUGAGGCACGAAAGCCAGGGGAGCGAACGGG
rnacentral:rRNA from 1 species